rnacentral:rRNA from 1 species
AUUGAACGCUGGCGGCAUGCUUUACACAUGCAAGUCGAACGGUAACAGGCCGCAAGGUGCUGACGAGUGGCGAACGGGUGAGUAAUGCAUCGGAACGUGCCCAGUCGUGGGGGAUAACUACUCGAAAGAGUAGCUAAUACCCCAUACGAUCUAUGGAUGAAAGCGGGGGACCGUAAGGCCUCGCGCGAUUGGAGCGGCCGAUGUCAGAUUAGGUAGUUGGUGGGGUAAAGGCUCACCAAGCCAACGAUCUGUAGCUGGUCUGAGAGGACGACCAGCCACACUGGAACUGAGACACGGCCCAGACUCCUACGGGAGGCAGCAGUGGGGAAUUUUGGACAAUGGGCGCAAGCCUGAUGCAGCAAUGCCGCGUGCAGGAAGAGGGCCUUCGGGUUGUAAACUGCUUUUGUACGGAACGAAACGGCUCUGGUUAAUACCCGGGGCUAAUGACGGUACCGUAAGAAUAAGCACCGGCUAACUACGUG